rnacentral:rRNA from 1 species
CGGCGGUGGCGGCGUGCUAUACAUGCAAGUUGAGCGCUGAAGGUUGGUACUUGUACCAACUGGAUGAGCAGCGAACGGGUGAGUAACGCGUGGGGAAUCUGCCUUUGAGCGGGGGACAACAUUUGGAAACGAAUGCUAAUACCGCAUAAAAACUUUAAACACAAGUUUUAAGUUUGAAAGAUGCAAUUGCAUCACUCAAAGAUGAUCCCGCGUUGUAUUAGCUAGUUGGUGAGGUAAAGGCUCACCAAGGCGAUGAUACAUAGCCGACCUGAGAGGGUGAUCGGCCACAUUGGGACUGAGACACGGCCCAAACUCCUACGGGAGGCAGCAGUAGGGAAUCUUCGGCAAUGGACGAAAGUCUGACCGAGCAACGCCGCGUGAGUGAAGAAGGUUUUCGGAUCGUAAAACUCUGUUGGUAGAGAAGAACGUUGGUGAGAGUGGAAAGCUCAUCAAGUGACGGUAACUACCCAGAAAGGGACGGCUAACUACGUGCCAGCAGCCGCGGUAAUACGUAGGUCCCGAGCGUUGUCCGGAUUUAUUGGGCGUAAAGCGAGCGCAGGUGGUUUAUUAAGUCUGGUGUAAAAGGCAGUGGCUCAACCAUUGUAUGCAUUGGAAACUGGUAGACUUGAGUGCAGGAGAGGAGAGUGGAAUUCCAUGUGUAGCGGUGAAAUGCGUAGAUAUAUGGAGGAACACCGGUGGCGAAAGCGGCUCUCUGGCCUGUAACUGACACUGAGGCUCGAAAGCGUGGGGAGCAAACAGGAUUAGAUACCCUGGUAGUCCACGCCGUAAACGAUGAGUGCUAGAUGUAGGGAGCUAUAAGUUCUCUGUAUCGCAGCUAACGCAAUAAGCACUCCGCCUGGGGAGUACGACCGCAAGGUUGAAACUCAAAGGAAUUGACGGGGGCCCGCACAAGCGGUGGAACAUGUGGUUUAAUUCGAAGCAACGCGAAGAACCUUACCAGGUCUUGACAUACUCGUGCUAUUCCUAGAGAUAGGAAGUUCCUUCGGGACACGGGAUACAGGUGGUGCAUGGUUGUCGUCAGCUCGUGUCCUGAAAUGUUGGGUUAAGUCCCGCAACGAGCGCAACCCCUAUUGUUAGUUGCCAUCAUUAAUUUGGGCACUCUAACGAGACUGCCGGUGAUAAACCGGAGAAAAGUUGGGGAUGAAGUCCAAUCAUCAGGCCCCUAAAAACCGGGGCACCACCUUGGUACAAGGAAGGGGUCACCAAUCCGCGGACGAGAGAUUGUUACCCAACCCCUUAAAAACAUUCUCCGGUUCGAAUGUAAGG